rnacentral:pre_miRNA from 1 species
AAAAUACUCCCUCCGUCCCAAAAUUCUUGUCUUAGAUUUGUCCAAAUACGGAUGUAUCAAGUCACGUUUUAGUAUUAGGUACAUCCGUAUCUAGACAAAUCUAAGACAAGAAUUUUUGGACGGAGGGAGUAAUAU